CGCCGCCUCGACGCAUUCCCUUCUCUCCCCGGCAUCGUCCCACACAGAAAGAAAGAGCGCAGAGCCCCGGCCCGACCUUUAGUGUAGGUCCGCCAACGUAAAGCGAGGAGUUGAGCCUGAACUGGCGAACCGAAGUCACUUUCGGAACCAUACUUCCUACAGCUAACACGUGUCCAGUCCAGCGGGAACGCGCAGCGCAAAAUAACGUAAGCUGCUCGAAUCCCCCGCUGGCCAUCGGGGACCGAGUGGUAAGGCCAUGAUCCGCAGGGGAACGGAUCACUCAUUCUUCCAUUGGGGACAGGUGCACGAACGACAACUCCAAACGUCACACAUCCGUCGCCUACUUACCGUUUAGGUGGCACCAGCGAGAUCCAGCUAAGGUAAGGAACUUCGUGUCGCGGCUGCUCCACUCCGCCGCGGUCUCAUGAACUUAACUUCGUUGCCUUCCCGCGCGCGAAGCGAAUGGGCGC